rnacentral:rRNA from 1 species
GUCCACGCCGUAAACGAUGGGUGCUAGGUGUGGGCGGUGUCGACUCCGUCCGUGCCGAAGCUAACGCAUUAAGCACCCCGCCUGGGGAGUACGGCCGCAAGGCUAAAACUCAAAGGAAUUGACGGGGACCCGCACAAGCAGCGGAGCAUGUGGUUUAAUUCGACGCGACGCGAAGAACCUUACCAGGGCUUGACAUGCACAGGAAUGUCGUAGAAAUACGGCAGCCCUUCGGGGCCUGUGCACAGGUGGUGCAUGGCUGUCGU